ACCAUGGGCAGAAGCAAACUGGGUAAAGCACACCCAGGAGAGAGAAUAGGCCCUUUUUUGACAGUUAGGAUAUAGGGUGGUUUGGUUUUGUCUUUGGAGUUGAUGUGAAAUUACACAGGUGCUCAGAUUCUGCAUCCUGCACAUUUCAUUCUAUUGCCUUGUGGUUGGGAGAGAGUGGGAUGUAAAAGUAUUUAAUAUUCUCUCUCUAUUAAUUAGUGCUGGAAAUUAAUAAUACAGCAGCAGUUAUCCCUUGACUAGCUAGUUCUCCCCCAUCCCCAAAUCACAUAGAAACCUUUUAAUAUUUCAAAGCUCUUCUUAACUAGCUCAGCCCGACCACUUAGUCCCGUCCUGCAUGUGGCUAGCUAUAUCUUCCAGGCCUGUAGUCAUGUCUAUCUCCCUUCAUGUCUCCUCUCAAAAAUCCUUCCUCUUCUUUUUAGAGUUCCUUUUUCCCUCUCAGGAAGUCUCACCACCUAUUUCUCUAAUCACAUCUUAGAGAGAUAGCCAAUCACAGGCUUUAGCUUUCAUUCCAGUUAAACUGGGGAGCAAGGUUUGCACAACAAAAGCUGGUGUACUUGAAAAUUCUCUCAUCUUGGGGCAACCAGAGCUCGGGUUACAGAAUUUAGCUGUUGAAUAGCACAUCAGACCAACCGCAGCAGGAGGCAACCACUGCAGGGACAAGUUACUAGUGACUAUAUCACUGGAGAAAAUGGCUGUCCUGCUUCCAGCAACCAUUACUUGCCAGUACCUUGGCAGGGGUCUGGCCUCAUAAGCCUCCCUCCCAUCCAUGGUGGGAUGGUAACGGGCCCAUCUGGUGCAGAUCCUUUCCCAUCUCCUUACCCACCCAACUUCAUGUUCCUUCUCUCUCUUAAAAAAAUAAAAACAGGG